CAUUACCGAGUUUACAACUCCCAAACCCCUGUGAACAUACCUUAAUGUUGCCUCGGCGGAUCAGCCCGCGCCCCGUAAAACGGGACGGCCCGCCAGAGGACCCAAACUCUAAUGUUUCUUAUUGUAACUUCUGAGUAAAACAAACAAAUAAAUCAAAACUUUCAACAACGGAUCUCUUGGUUCUGGCAUCGAUGAAGAACGCAGCAAAAUGCGAUAAGUAAUGUGAAUUGCAGAAUUCAGUGAAUCAUCGAAUCUUUGAACGCACAUUGCGCCCGCUGGUAUUCCGGCGGGCAUGCCUGUUCGAGCGUCAUUUCAACCCUCAAGCCCCCGGGUUUGGUGUUGGGGAUCGGCUCUGCCCUUCUGGGCGGUGCCGCCCCCGAAAUACAUUGGCGGUCUCGCUGCAGCCUCCAUUGCGUAGUAGCUAACACCUCGCAACUGGAACGCGGCGCGGCCAUGCCGUAAAACCCCAACUUCUGAAUGUUGACCUCGGAUCAGGUAGGAAUACCCGCUGAACUUAAGCAUACAA
rnacentral:rRNA from 1 species